UAUGUAGGGGGCAAGCGUUGUCCGGAAUCAUUGGGCGUAAAGAGCGUGUAGGCGGCCCGGUAAGUCCGCUGUGAAAGUCCAGGGCUCAACCCUGGGAUGCCGGUGGAUACUGUCGGGCUCGAGUCCGGAAGAGGAGUGUGGAAUUCCUGGUGUAGCGGUGAAAUGCGCAGAUAUCAGGAGGAACACCAAUGGCGAAGGCAGCACUCUGGGACGUGACUGACGCUGAGACGCGAAAGCGUGGGGAGCAAACAGG
rnacentral:rRNA from 1 species